rnacentral:rRNA from 1 species
AACGAACGCUGGCGGCAUGCCUAACACAUGCAAGUCGAACGAAGCCUUCGGGCUUAGUGGCGCACGGGUGCGUAACGCGUGGGAAGCUGCCCUUUGGUUCGGAAUAACAGUUGGAAACGACUGCUAAUACCGGAUGAUGACGAAAGUCCAAAGAUUUAUCGCCAGAGGAUGAGCCCGCGUAGGAUUAGCUAGUUGGUGUGGUAAAGGCGCACCAAGGCGACGAUCCUUAGCUGGUCUGAGAGGAUGAGCAGCCACACUGGGACUGAGACACGGCCCAGGCUCCUACGGGAGGGAGCAGUGGGGAAUAUUGGACAAUGGGCGAAAGCCUGAUCCAGCAAUGCCGCGUGAGUGAUGAAGGCCCUAGGGUUGUAAAGCUCUUUUACCCGGGAUGAUAAUGACAGUACCGGGAGAAUAGGCCCCGGCUAACUCCGUGCCAGCCGCCGCCGUAA